GGAUUGAAGGACAACCUGGCUAAGGUGUCUGUCAUCCCAUUGAAAGCUAGGGCUUAUCCAAACAAUCUGGCUAGCUAGGUGUGUAUACCCAUCCUCCCUCACUCCUCCUAUAUGCCAUUACUGAAACUAUGUGCUUGGACAGAGUAUGACAUUCCCCUACAGAGGAGGAUAUGGUCUUUAAUCAUGAGUAUACUAGCAGCUGUGCUCCCCACACAAAUUCUACACACACACACACACACACACACACUCAUGGGGGUACAGGGAGAAAGAGAAAGACAGAGAGCCCAAAUUGAUGGUCUAUGAGACCACUACUGAGUUA
rnacentral:snRNA from 1 species